GACAGAGGUGCCAAGCGUUAGGCGGAAUCACUGGGCUUAAAGCGUGUGUAGGCGGAUGCCUAAGUACCUUGUGAAAUCCCCCGGCUCAACCGGGGAACGGCUGGGUAUACUGGGUGUCUUGGGUCAUCUAGGGGCUGCCGGAACAAAUGGUGGAGCGGUGAAAUGCGUAGAUAUCAUUUGGAACGCCAACGGCGAAAGCAGGCAGCUGGGGGAUGCACCGACGCUGAGACACGAAAGCCAGGGGAGCGAACGGG
rnacentral:rRNA from 1 species